rnacentral:sRNA from 1 species
GCUCUAUGGUCGGGUUGUUGUCUCUUUGGCACAUUCCCCAUUCCCAUUCUCAAUUUUAUUGUUAGAUGAAUUCUACGGCAACAGUGUUUAUAUAUUAGUUCAUUUUGAUUUGAUAACAUUACAAUUUCAAUAAAAUUGAGAAUGGAAAUGGGGAGUGUCUCAAAGAGACAACAGCCCGACCAUAGAA